rnacentral:rRNA from 1 species
CCGGAUUAAUACCGCAUACGCUCUACGGAGGAAAGGGGGGGAUCUUAGGACCUCCCGCUACAGGGGCGGCCGAUGGCAGAUUAGCUAGUUGGUGGGGUAAAGGCCUACCAAGGCGACGAUCUGUAGCUGGUCUGAGAGGACGACCAGCCACACUGGGACUGAGACACGGCCCAGACUCCUACGGGAGGCAGCAGUGGGGAAUUUUGGACAAUGGGCGAAAGCCUGAUCCAGCAAUGCCGCGUGUGUGAAGAAGGCCUUCGGGUUGUAAAGCACUUUUGUCCGGAAAGAAAACCUCCGCCCUAAUAUGGUGGGGGGAUGACGGUACCGGAAGAAUAAGCACCGGCUAACUACGUGCCAGCAGCCGCGGUAAUACGUAGGGUGCAAGCGUUAAUCGGAAUUACUGGGCGUAAAGCGUGCGCAGGCGGUCCGCUAAGACAGAUGUGAAAUCCCCGGGCUUAACCUGGGAACUGCAUUUGUGACUGGCGGGCUAGAGUAUGGCAGAGGGGGGUAGAAUUCCACGUGUAGCAGUGAAAUGCGUAGAGAUGUGGAGGAAUACCGAUGGCGAAGGCAGCCCCCUGGGCCAAUACUGACGCUCA